UGUCGCCUACGGGGCGCAGCAGUAGGGAGUUUUGCGCAAUGGGCGAAAGCCGGACGCAGCAACGCCGCGUGAACGAGACGCCCUUCGGGGUGUAAAGUUCUGUCAGUGGGGACGAAAGAUGACGGUACCCACAGAGGAAGCACCGGCUAACUCCGUGCCAGCAGCCGCGGUAAUACGGAGGGUGCAAGCGUUGUCCGGAAUCAUUGGGCGUAAAGAGUUCGUAGGCGGUAUGUUAAGUCUGGUGUUAAAUGCAGAAGCUCAACUUCUGUUCGGCACUGGAUACUGGCAAACUAGAAUGCGGUAGG
rnacentral:rRNA from 1 species